AGCUCUUCUUGGUGUUGGUCCCCUGUGGUGUGCCACUCAAGUUUUCUGUGGGGAGCUGAAAGGAUGCAAGAUUUCCAUCAUGUUUCAGCAGGAGUCAGGCCUAAAUCAAAUUGUUUGCAGUAAGAGGAGAGAAGAUAAGUCCUUAGAAGCAAACAGGUAAGUUUGUGAAACAAUGCUUUGCUAAAGAAUGUUGUCCAAAAAUGCUUUGUCCCAAGAAAGAAGAAGAGUCCAAAGCAUCUACAUACCAGAUACUAUAAAAUCUCUCAGGGAAUCCUUUGUCCUGUCCUCACUGAAAGUUUCAAGUUUUCAGAAUGCAAGUACAGUACUUCUGAAGGACUAUUGGGAGAACAAAUUGGAAAGAGGCCUUGUAUUUGGCUGAAGAGACCUACGAAGAGUGAGAACUGCACAGGGCCUUGUGACUGCUACACCUUAAGAAUAUUCUAUCUUUUUUUUUUUUACACUUGGCACUUCAGUAGCUUUGAGCAGCUGUGUGUCAGGUUCACCAGUGAGAAAGUGCAACAGUUCUUCAACCACCAAAUGUUUGUGCUGGAGCAGCAGGAGUAAAAGAAGGAAGGAAUUGAAUGGGCAUUAAUUGACUUUGGGAUGGACUGGGCUGCCGGUAUUAAGCUGAUUAAGAAGGUAUCCUUCCUAUUCAUAUGCAUUAAUGUCUGAAUUCUCUAGUUAGUGAAGGAUAACUAAUGAUCUGGUGUAUACUGAAUUAAAAUGUUAAAUUUCAGUUAGUAAGCUUCUCUGUAUUUUUGUGAUUUGU
rnacentral:lncRNA from 1 species